rnacentral:lncRNA from 1 species
CGCGGCCAGCCGGACGCUGCAGCAGUGCGGGCAGCUACAGAAGCUCAUCGGCAUCUCCAUCGGCAGCCUGCACGGGCUGCGCACCAAGUGCGCUGUGUCCAACGGCCUCACCCAGCAGGAGAUACGGACCCUGGAGGUGAGGCCACUGAAGGUCUGAGGGAGAACUGACUUGUCAGGAACUCCUGUUAAGGAGAAUUAACAAAGUGUGGUUAUUAAAGGAGAACUGAGUUGGGAGUCAGACCUGGAGGACUGCACCCUUGGUUAAGACAUUAUACCACCUUGAGUCUGGCCUGUUGACUGAAGGAUGCUCCUGUGAAAGAAAGUUGUGCUGCAUCAGACAUCUCCCUCCUGAAGAUCCCUCCGGAUGAGGAUUUGUGUUUUAAAGGUUCUGAGAAGUCCUGCAACAACAGUUCUCAAACUUAUUUGUCCAGGGGAUCUUUUCUUCCACUGAACGUAGUUGGGGAAACACGGCCUUAAGCCUUGGGCAGAGAAAGAGACAAACUGUUGGCUCACUUACAACCAAGUGUUGUGUUUUAUGUUUUAGGUUUUUAUGAAACUGAGGUGCUGUUUGAGGUUCUAAAUCAAAUUGGGUGGUUGAAGAGAGGCUGGUAUCCCUGUAGACUUAGCCAGCCAUGAGAGGUUGCCUUUUGUUGAAGGAGGUGUUUUACAAAGGGAAAUAGGGUGUCUCCUGGGCAUCACAUUAGCACUUGAAUACAUGUAUCACUGAAAUUAAAUGAAAUGAUGAAAUAAAAUGAUGAAAUGAAGAAAUGAUGAAAUGA